rnacentral:rRNA from 1 species
AUUAAACGCUGGCGGCAUGCCUUACACAUGCAAGUCGAACGGCAGCACGGGGGCAACCCUGGUGGCGAGUGGCGGACGGGUGAGUAAAGCAUCGGAACGUAUCCUGGAGUGGGGGGAUAACGUAGCGAAAGUUACGCUAAUACCGCAUAUUCUGUGAGCAGGAAAGCAGGGGGAUCGCAAGACCUUGCGCUCUGGGAGCGGCCGAUGUCGGAUUAGGCUAGUUGGUGGGGUAAAGGCCUACCAAGGCGACGAUCCGUAGCGGGUCUGAGAGGAUGAUCCGCCACACUGGGACUGAGACACGGCCCAGACUCCUACGGGAGGCAGCAGUGGGGAAUUUUGGGACAAUGGGCGCAAGCCUGAUCCAGCCAUGCCGCGUGAGUGAAGAAGGCCU